rnacentral:rRNA from 1 species
UGUCUAAGUAUAAACAAUUUUAUACUUGUGAAACUGCGAAUGGCUCAUUAAAUCAGUUAUAGUUUAUUUGAUAGUGCCUUACUACUUGGAUAACCGUGGUAAUUCUAGAGCUAAUACAUGCAACAAAUCCCGACUUUUGGAAGGGAUGUAUUUAUUAGAUAAAAAACCAAACCGGGGAGCAAUCCCCGGUGCUUGAUGAUUCAUAAUAACUUGACGGAUCGCAUGGCCUUGUGCUGGCGAUGAAUCAUUCAAAUUUCUGCCCUAUCAAGUUUCGAUGGUAGGGUAGUGGCCUACCAUGCUUGUGACGGGUAACGGAGAAUUAGGGUUCGAUUCCGGAGAGGGAGCCUGAGAAACGGCUACCACAUCCAAGGAAGGCAGCAGGCGCGCAAAUUACCCAAUCUCGACACGAGGAGGUAGUGACAAAACGUAACAACACAGGGCUUUGAUAAGUCUUGUGAUUGGAAUGAGUACAAUUUAAAACCCUUAACGAGGAUAAUUGGGGGGCAAGUCUGGUGCCAGCAGCCGCGGUAAUUCCAGCUCCAAUAGCGUAUAUUAAUGCUGUUGCAGUUAAAAAGCUCGUAGUUGGAUUUCAGGACGGAGCAACUGGUCCGCCUUCGGGUGUGUACUUGUUGGUCUGUUCUUCCGUCCAAGGAAGAUUUCUGCUUCGGCGGGAUACUUAGGCCCGUUACUUUGAAAAAAUUAGAGUGUUCAAAGCAGGCCAAUGCCUUGAAUACAUUAGCAUGGAAUAACAGAAUAGGACUUUGGUUCUAUUUUGUUGGUUUCUAGGACCAAAGUAAUGAUUAAUAGGGAUAGUUGGGGGCAUUAAUAUUUCAUUGUCAGAGGUGAAAUUCUUGGAUUUAUGAAAGAUUAACUUCUGCGAAAGCAUUUGCCAAGGAUGUUUUCAUUAAUCAAGAACGAAAGUUAGGGGAUCGAAGACGAUCAGAUACCGUCGUAGUCUUAACCAUAAACUAUGCCGACUAGGGAUUGGUGGACGUCUCUUUUGUGACUCCAUCAGCAUCUUAUGAGAAAUCAAAGUUUGUGGGUUCUGGGGGGAGUAUGGUCGCAAGGCUGAAACUUAAAGGAAUUGACGGAAGGGCACCCCCAGGAGUGGAGCCUGCGGCUUAAUUUGACCCAACACGGGAAAACUCACCAGGUCCAGACACAGUUAGGAAUUGACAGAUUGAGAGCUCUUUCUGAUUCUAUGGGUGGUGGUGCAAGGCCGUUCUUAGUUGGUGGAGGGGAUUUGUCUGCUUAAAUUGCGAUAACGAACGAGACCUUAACCUACUAAAUAGUUAUGCCAAGCUUCUGCUUGGUCGUAACUUCUUAGAGGGACAAUACAAGUCAAUUGUAUGGAAGUUUGAGGCAAUAACAGGUCUGUGAUGCCCUUAGAUGUUCUGGGCCGCACGCGCGCUACACUGACGAAAUCAACGAGUUUCACCUAGACCGAUAGGUCGGGGUAAUCUUUUAAACUUUCGUCGUGCUGGGGAUAGACUAUUGCAAUUAUUAGUCUUCAACGAGGAAUUCCUAGUAAGCACAAGUCAUCAGCUUGUGCUGAUUACGUCCCUGCCCUUUGUACACACCGCCCGUCGCUCCUACCGAUGGAUGAUCCGGUGAAAUUUUCAGACCGUCGCUUUGUAGUCGGCAACGACAGCAUCGUGACGGGAAGUUACUUUAACCUUAAUAUCUAGAGGAAGGAAAAGGCG